UACAGAGGUCUCAAGCGUUGUUCGGAUUCAUUGGGCGUAAAGGGUGUGUAGGUGGCGCCGUAAGUGGGGUGUGAAAUCUCGGGGCUUAACUCCGAAACUGCAUUCCAUACUGCGGUGCUUGAGGACUGGAGAGGAGACUGGAAUUCAUGGUGUAGCAGUGAAAUGCGUAGAGAUCAUGAGGCAGACCAGUGGCGAAGGCGGGUCUCUGGACAGUUCCUGACACUGAGACACGAAGGCCAGGGGAGCAAACGGG
rnacentral:rRNA from 1 species